rnacentral:rRNA from 1 species
CUAAGAAUCUUCCGCAAUGGGCGCAAGCCUGACGGAGCGACGCCGCGUGGACGAUGAAGGCCGUAAGGUUGUAAAGUCCUUUUCUCUGUGAGGAAUAAGGGUGGGAGUGGAAAGCCCAUCUGAUGACGGUAAUGGAGGAAUAAGCACCGGCUAACUACGUGCCAGCAGCCGCGGUAAUACGUAGGGUGCGAGCGUUGUUCGGAGUUAUUGGGCGUAAAGGGCGUGUAGGCGGCUUGAGAAGUCUGAUUUGAAAUGCACUGGCUCAACUGGUGCGCUGGGUCAGAAACUGGCAGGCUAGAGUUCAUAGGGAGGAACUGGAAUUCCAGGUGUAGGGGUGAAAUCUGUAGAGAUCUGGAAGAACACCGGUAGCGAAGGCGGGUUCCUAUGGAUGGACUGACGCUGAGGCGCGAAAGCGUGGGGAGCGAACAGG